AUAGAUCUAAGGUUCGGUUUUCUCUCGUUCGCUUCACAGCUCUUUGCUCCAUCUAUAAACUGCGAUCUUCUCACUCUCAAGCUCUCGGCUCUCUCCGGGCUCCAGCCACCGAUUUAUCUUCUCUCUUUCUCAAGCGAGACCCAACCUCCAUUGUCGCGUCGCACCUUUGCCUCCUACAGACUACAAUCCCACUCCAGACUCCAAAUUCCAAAUUUUUCUUAGGUAAUUUUUCUAAUUGGUGUUGGUGGUGGGAUAAGAUAGUGUUGAUGAGUUUAUUUUGUGAUUUGAUUUCUGUAUUUAUGUCUACUUAUGUCGAUUUAGUCAAUACUCAAUAUAUUUCUGAUCUAGUAUCAAACAUGUGCAGCUG
rnacentral:lncRNA from 1 species